rnacentral:rRNA from 1 species
GGGCCGCACGCGCGCUACACUGACGGAGCCAGCGAGUAUAACCUUGGCCGAGAGGUCUUGGUUAACUUGUGAAACUCCGUCGUGCUGGGGAUAGAGCAUUGUAAUUAUUGCUCUUCAACGAGGAAUUCCUAGUAAGCGCAAGUCAUCAGCUUGCGUUGAUUACGUCCC